UGGGGAAUAUUGCACAAUGGGCGAAAGCCUGAUGCAGCAACGCCGCGUGAGUGAUGAAGGUCUUCGGAUUGUAAAGCUCUGUCUUUUGGGACGAUAAUGACGGUACCAAAGGAGGAAGCCACGGCUAACUACGUGCCAGCAGCCGCGGUAAUACGUAGGUGGCGAGCGUUGUCCGGAUUUACUGGGCGUAAAGGGUGCGUAGGCGGAUGUUUAAGUGAGAUGUGAAAUACCCGGGCUUAACUUGGGUGCUGCAUUUCAAACUGGAUAUCUAGAGUGCAGGAGAGGAGAAUGGAAUUCCUAGUGUAGCGGUGAAAUGCGUAGAGAUUAGGAAGAACACCAGUGGCGAAGGCGAUUCUCUGGACUGUAACUGACGCUGAGGCACGAAAGCGUGGGUAGCAAACAGGAUUAGAUACCCUGGUAGUCCACGCCGUAAACGAUGAGUACUAGGUGUAGGAGGUAUCGACCCCUUCUGUGCCGCAGUAAACACAUUAAGUACUCCGCCUGGGAAGUACGAUCGCAAGAUUAAAACUCUAAGUGAAUUGACGGG
rnacentral:rRNA from 1 species